rnacentral:rRNA from 1 species
UACGUAGGGGGCGAGCGUUGUCCGGAGUUACUGGGCGUAAAGGGCAUGCAGGCGGUCGGACGCGUUUCGGGUGACAGCGGGUGGCUUAACUACCCGAGUGGUCGAAAGACGGUUUGACUUGAGGACGCGAGAGGGACACGGAAUUCCGGGUGGAGUGGUGAAAUGCGUAGAUAUCGGCGAGGAACACCGAUGGCGAAGGCAAUCCCU